UACGGAGGGUGCGAGCGUUGUCCGGAAUCACUGGGCGUAAAGGGCGCGUAGGCGGCUGGGGAAGUCGGCGGUGAAAGCCCGGAGCUCAACUCCGGGUCGGCCGUCGAGACUCCUCGGCUCGAGCUCACUAGAGGCAGAUGGAAUUCCGGGUGUAGCGGUGGAAUGCGUAGAGAUCGGGAGGAACACCAGAGGCGAAGGCGGCGACCUGGACAAGUACUGACACUCAACUACGAAAGCGUGGGGAGCAAACAGG
rnacentral:rRNA from 1 species